rnacentral:lncRNA from 1 species
ACAGUUAGAGAGUCUCCUUCAAGGACAAUGUUCGGCCUCACAAAUCUGCUUUGAAUCACCUUCAGCACCUCCCAAGCAGCCCGGAGUUCAGUGAGAGGGACAGAAAACAAAUGGAACGUUUGAGCACCGGCGAACAAUAAUCUCCCAAGAUGGUCUCGAAUCACAUAACCACUGCAGGCCAUUUCCCCCUUCACGGAGCCGUCGAAAUUGACCUUCAACCAGCCAUGGGGAGAGGGCAUCCAACACACCAAAGUGGGUAUCAGAGCAGGGGGGCUACUAGAGCCGCAAAUGCCCCAGGACAUGUCUUUGGCGAAGGCAUUAGAGAAUUCAUAGGCCAAUCGAAGAGAAGUGGAGAUAAUUUCCUUAGCAUGCAAUAUUUGUUGCUG